GAGCCAGUCGCACAGUUGGUAGUGCAGCGGACUUUUAAUCCGAGUGGACGUGGGUUCGAGUCCCACCUGGCUCA
rnacentral:tRNA from 1 species